rnacentral:lncRNA from 1 species
AUAGAUAUCCCGUGGGGGAGGAAUCCACUCCUGGAAGUCAGACAGACCAGGUUCAGAGCUUGGCUCUACUGCUUUCUUGCUAUGUGUUCUGGGCAAGUAAUAAAACUCGGCUGAGUCUCAGUUUCCUUUAAGAGAUUGUUGCGAGGCUUAAAGAUAAUGAAAGUAAAAGGUCUGACCCUUAGGAAGGACUUAAUACCUAUCAGCUAUUAUAAAUGAGAGAGGUUGUGAAGAUGGAAGACGAGUGAAACAAAAAGACAAUCGUGAUUUAAGGCUGACUACUAAAGAAGUGAAAUUAUCUAACCCAGCAGCUGCUUUCAAGCAGAAGUACUUUUAAACACAGGGAGCGGGAGCCGAGAAAACAGGGAAAGGCAGGCUGCAGAGAGAGGCUGGAGCCUUCAAGUCCAGGUCAGCAGAAGCCUGUGAGUUGCAGUGAGAAAUUUCAAAUCUGACACUUGCCAGUUCCCAUCGAGCUCCGAGUGGGAAAUGUCCCCGACCUCGUCCAUUUUUAAUGUAACAGUCAGUCUAGCGGAAGAGAUCACCUCCAGGUUUUAAUUUUUAAGAGACGUAAAAGAAAAUUUGAGGAUGGGAACAUAGAGUGCUUUGUCCAGUGCUCUUGUGAAGUCCUAGAAUAUUCCUACAGAAAUGACAACAGACACAGAUGCACUGGAUGAAUAAAGGUAUAAAUGAACUAUUUGAAGAUGUGAGAAAACAUUGUAAAAAGUAGAUUGAAGAAUUCUCCUCAUUUCUGCUUGUCUGAAUUGGGUCACGAGUCCAUCCUACAUCACUGGGAUAGGGAACAGCAUUACUGAUUUAGAGCAGUGGUUUUCAAAGCGUGCUCCAGGGACCCCUGCGGGACCCCAACCCCUAUCAGGGGGAUCUGUGAGGUUCAAAAUAUGUUCAUAAUACUACUAAGCUUUUUUUUUCUCCUUUUUCACUCUCAUUCUCUCACAA